rnacentral:rRNA from 1 species
GGGUGCGAUCAUACCAGCGUUAAUGCACCGGAUCCCAUCAGAAUUCCGCAGUUAAGUGCGCUUGGGCUAGAGGAGUACUGGGAUGGGUGACCUCCCGGGAAGUCCUAGUGUUGCACCCU